rnacentral:rRNA from 1 species
AAUAUUGGACAAUGGGGGCAACCCUAAUACAGCCAUGCAGCGUGUGUGAAGAAGGUCUUCGGAUUGUAAAGCACUUUAAGUUGGGAGGAUGGUCUUUAGGUUAAAACGCUAAAGUUUUGACGUUACCAACAGAAUAUGCACCGACUAACUCGGUGCCAUCAGCCGCGGUAAUACAGAGGGUGCAAGCGUUAAACUGAAUUACUGGGCGUAAAGCGCGCGUAGGUGGUUCAGUAAGAUGGGUGUGAAAUCCCCGGGCUUAACCUGGGAACUGCUUUCAUAACUGCUGAGCUAGAGUACGGUAGAGGGUAGUGGAAUUUCCUGUGUAGCGGUGAAAUACGUAGAUAUAGGAAGGAACACCAGUGGCGAAGGCGACUACCUGGACUGAUACUGACACUGAGGUGCGAAAGCGUGGGGAGCAAAA